UCUUCAGUGAGGUCAAUCCUUACCUGUUCCUCCUUAGGGAGAAACAGUAUAUGAUGAAUGGAGAAGGCUGAUAUUUGAUUACAGCAGCUCCGCAUAUCCCGAGCGACAACACAACUCGUGAUGUGAUAUUCUGAU
rnacentral:snoRNA from 1 species